UUUUGUUUCAACCUUACAGAGAGUAUCACAUUAAUAAAUCUGCAGGUUGUCUGACUUCUUCACCGCUUGCGGAUAAAGUGAUCAGGAUUGUAAAAUGUGAUAAUUCUACCUAGAAAUGAAUGCAGAUGGAAUUUCAAGGAGGGUGGUGUUGCAGUUCUUUCACCCCUAGACCCGGAACAGGUUAUUUCUUUCAAUCUAUUAAAGUUGCAGCAGAGUAGUGGUAGUCGGUUAGGGUUAGAAGGGGUGCCGAUGGUCGAUUAGGGAUGGAAAGUGGGGUGGUUCAACGCUUUUGGUGCUUGGGGUGGCGGUUACAUGGAGGUUGUGGUUGGGCCACCAAAUUAAGUAGCAAAUGGGUUGUAGGUGGGUACGAGUGGCGGCGAUUGUUGGUGGUUGAGGAAAAGGGGGAAGAUUGGGUUUCUGAAGCUUAGAUCGCGACUAAUAAGCGGUUUUGAGUUAGCGCUAUUGAAGACGAUUGAAAAUGCAGAUAUUGAGUGGUUAAAGGGUGUAUGUAUGAUAUGGUUGUUGAAGGUUUUCAGCUUUUAAGCCAAUGGAGUUAUCGCAUUUGUGAGCAAUGUGCAUGGAAAUUCUCACGCCCCUUCAAGGACUUUGUCGAGUCAGCUGAAAUGACAUCAGUUUCUGAUUAUGAAAAGGUUUAGUCGCAGUCUACAUCAAUUCAAGCUAGGAGGUCUAGAAACUCAACUAAAAUCUAGGUUGUUGGAUUUGUAUUGUUCGAGAGGACAAGAAAUUUGUGAUAACUUAUGUGAUUGUACUGAUUGUUAGUAUGGGAUAACAAAUGUUAUAAAUACUGCCGCAAUAUAAUUGUUAUGGAUUCUCUU